AUGCGUUCCGGUCGAUUGGAUCGUAAAUUUGAGUUUCCACAUCCCACUGAAGAAGCAAGAGCUCGGAUUCUGCAGAUUCACUCUAGGAAGAUGAAUGUUCACCCGGACGUCAAUUUUGAAGAAUUAGCUCGCUCUACUGAUGAUUCAAUGGUGCACAACUAAACGCAGUUUGUGUGGAGGCAGGCAUGCUGGCCCUUCGCCGUGAUGCAACUGAGAUGAGCCUGAUGAUUCCAUGCAUACAUUUACUGGUCAU